rnacentral:rRNA from 1 species
UGGGGAAUUUUGGACAAUGGGGGAAACCCUGAUCCAGCCAUCCCGCGUGUGCGAUGAAGGCCUUCGGGUUGUAAAGCACUUUUGGCAGGAAAGAAACGUCAUGGGUUAAUACCCCGUGAAACUGACGGUACCUGCAGAAUAAGCACCGGCUAACUACGUGCCAGCAGCCGCGGUAAUACGUAGGGUGCAAGCGUUAAUCGGAAUUACUGGGCGUAAAGCGUGCGCAGGCGGUUCGGAAAGAAAGAUGUGAAAUCCCAGAGCUCAACUUUGGAACUGCAUUUUUAACUACGGGGCUAGAGUGUGUCAGAGGGAGGUGGAAUUCCGCGUGUAGGAGUGAAAUGCGUAGAUAUGCGGAGGAACACCGGUGGCGAAGGCAGCCUCCUGGGAUAACACUGACGCUCAUGCACGAAAGCGUGGGGAGCAAACAGG